rnacentral:rRNA from 1 species
GAUGAACGCUGGCGGAGUGCCUAACACAUGCAAGUCGAGCGGCAGCGCGAGUAGUUUACUACUUGGCGGCGAGCGGCGGACGGCUGAGUAACGCGUGGGAACAUGCCCCAAAGUGAGGAAUAACUGCCCGAAAGGGUAGCUAAUGCCGCAUAUGAUCUUCGGAUUAAAGGAUUUAUCCGCUUUGGGAGUGGCCUGCGUACGAUUAGAUAGUUGGUGAGGUAAAGGCUCACCAAGUCGACGAUCGUUAACUGGUUUGAGAGGAUGAUCAGUCAGACUGGAACUGAGACACGGUCCAGACUCCUACGGGAAGCAGCAGUGAGGAAUCUUCCACAAUGGGCGAAAGCCUGAUGGAGCAACUCCGCGUGCAGGAUGAAGGCCUUCGGGUUGUAAACUGCUUUUAUGAGUGAAGAAUAUGACGGUAACUCAUGAAUAAGGGUCGGCUAACUACGUG